rnacentral:rRNA from 1 species
UACGGGGGGGGCAAGCGUUGUUCGGAAUUACUGGGCGUAAAGGGCUCGUAGGCGGUCUGUCACGUCGGCUGUGAAAACCCGGGGCUCAACCCCGGGCCUGCAGUCGAUACGGGCAGACUAGAGUUCGGUAGGGGAGACUGGAAUUCCUGGUGUAGCGGUGAAAUGCGCAGAUAUCAGGAGGAACACCGGUGGCGAAGGCGGGUCUCUGGGCCGAUACUGACGCUGAGGAGCGAAAGCGUGGGGAGCGAACAGG